AAAGAUGAUAGGGGCUGUGGCUAGUGGCAGGCACAGUGCCCUUCCUUCACUGGGUAAACAGUGCUGGAACUUGGUGCAACUGGUUUUCAAUCUCACAGCCGUGAAAGUAGGGCCCUGCUUCUCCAUCAAUGAUUCUGUGAAUGUCAGCAACUCCAAAUAUUUAUUUUUCGGCAAUCAUGCGCAUUUUCCUUAGGGUAUGCGGCCUAUCCAGCAUUCAACAGAACGCUAGGCAUGAUCAGCGCAUGCUGGCCAGAAGGCAGCUUACCUUUGGCCUUUAGUCCUGCUGUUCUGAGGCCUGGAUAAUAUUUCCCCAUUUACCCGCAGGCCUCACUUCUGAGCACCUUAUUUUAAGUGGGCCUUGAAAACAACAGGUGGCCUUUUCCAUCAGCAAGUAAACCUUAAUUGCAGUACGCAGAGCUAGCAAGGCUUGGGAGGGCCUAUGCUGGGAGCCACAGGUUGUGGCUUUGAACUGGGAGGUCUUCCUUGGCAACACGCACCGGCUUCCAGGACCCAGCACCUCCUCGCUUAACAGCCAUCCUAAGGUUGUGAUAACCACUUCAGCUGGCUACAGAAAGAAAGCAGGAAUAAAGGUGAAUCGGGAAAAUAAGAGACAGUAAAGAAACGACCAGCAGCUUCCUGACGCCACACGAACUGAACGAAAACACUCAUGACCGCAGAGAUGGAACCUUAUUACUUUAGAUGCUUCUAAUUGGAAAACUAUGCUGUGAAUGUGAAUUCAGAUCGCGGAGGACCUUUUCCUUAGCCAUCUUUACUUCAGAGAUGGCAAAUCAGGCAAGUCAGUUGCCAUGUCAUGUGUGAUACCAUGAAGAGGCCCGUGUGGCAAAGAAAGUCCCUAAUCUGCAGCCAUGUGUCUGGGCCACUGGGGAUAGGGAUCCACCGGGUCCAGGCAAAUUUCAGAUGACUGCAACCCCAGGCAACAUCUUGAUCAGAACCUCUUGGGGGACCAUGUGCCAGACCAUCUGGCUGACCGCUCCCAAAUCCCUGAUCCCUGAUCCCUGAUCCUCAGAAACUGCAAGAUCUGUAAAGAUGCCCACAUGGUGAAGAACUGAGGCUGCUGGCCAAAGUCAGCAAUGAACCAAAGCUACUUUCCAACAGCCGUGUGCCAGGCCCAUCUUAGACACAGGCCCUUCAGCCCCAGUAAAGUUUCAGAUGACCGUUGCUCUAGCCAGCAUCCUGAGUGGAACUCCUGAGAGACCCUGAGCCAGAACCCCCUGGCUAAGCCACUCCCAGAUUCCUGACCCUCAGAAACUUUAUGAAAUACUGUUUUUAAAAAGUGUUUAAGUCACUAUGUGCAUUAAUCAUGUGUUUCUGUUGUUAUGCUGUCUGGGACCUUGCUGACCAUGAAGAGACCAUCCCUUCUAGACAUCGCUGAUUCCCAGAGAUAGGGCAAGCCUUUCCCAUGCAAACCAACCAAUACAGAAUUUAAACCGUAACAACCUCCUUCAUUGGUCUUUAACCCAGGGCCCUCACACUCUGGGACCUUAUCUACCUGCACUAUUUGCCCCAGGCAACUAAAUUCAACCCCCAUGCCCCAAAGUCCACUGAAGUCAUUCAGAUUAUCCUAUCCUCAACCUGCUUUCCCUGCCUUGCCCGUUGCUUCCCAUGGAAGCCAUGAGAACGUCUCUUUCCCAUUCGUUCCCCUUACUCCACCUCAAAGCCAUCCCUGGUGCUCCUCCAGGUGGCCCGUCAGAGGCAAGGUACGCUCGUCCCUCUUGGAAUGUUCAACAAACUAUCUUUUCGAUGGUAGUCACCUCCUGAUCUUUGGACCUUACCAUAAUUAAAUAAUAAUGAAACCUACAUUUGAAAUACUAUGGUUUGGGCAACCUGUUGAACAGCACUAGAUAACAAGUACACUUAAAUAUACCUGUGUGUUUCCUUCAUACCACAGUGUCAUUUUCAUACCUAGUGACAUUUAAAUUACCUUUAAUAUCAUAUAAUACUAGAUCAUCUGAUAAAUGUCCUCCUUUUCCCUAGCAACACCUUUAUAGCUGGUUUGUUGGAGAACAGGCUCCAAAUAAGGCCACAUAUUGCUUUUGAUGCUGUUUUUCAAAUCUCUUUUCAAGGUAGAAUUUUCAAAAAGGCAAAACCAUGCAUUCCCUAUGAACAUAAAUUAACUAAGUAUCAAAUAGUUAAUCAACUCAUGAAUGAGGGAAGCAGCAGUAUGGUUAAACUGGUUAAAAGACACUUUGAGAGACUGAAGCAUUGGAAAAUGACUGCUAAGUUAUAUUUUUAAAACACUGGUUAACAACCUCCAAGGAAAUAAAACUCAUAAUUAAAACAUUUUUGAUUAUCUUUGCAGCCAGACAAAUCAUUUGCAUCUCUACGAGACAUACUUAAUCUCAACUGCUAUCAGAUAAGAAUCAUUUGCAUCAUAACAAUUUUGUACAUGUUAUCCACUUCCCUUGCAGAAUUGUAAACUAUCUUAAUUAAUCUUAAAUGGUCUGGAAUGAAGGUGCACCCCCUAGAAUGUUAGACUGUGCCCCUGCAUGAUAUUGAAAGGACAGAACGCUGAAUUAUCCAUUUUCUAUUUCCAAGUUUUGAGAUUUUCUUUUUCCUUUAUACUCAUUUAAUCUAGAAUAGAUUAUAGUAAACUUAUUAUAGGAUGUUGAAAUAAUGCUUUAUUUAUUUAUUCAUUUUAGUAUUGACUUCACAUUUAAUACAUAGGAUUCCUUUUGAGUAGUCUAAACUAGGGCAUGUGGGCUUGUUUUGAAGGAACAGUCCUGAGGUCUUCACCUGAUUUGACCUCAAACACAAUUCUCCCUCCUUUUCUUCCAAGAGUCAUUUGGUGCCUAACAGAGGUUUCCUGGUGGUUUUCUUUGAAACACUGGGCUGGAAGUUUGAGGGGAGUAUCCUUCCCCACCCCUAUACCUCCCCACCUUCCUUCUCAGACUUUCACUAAAAGUCCUGGAACUUCUGCUUUUUGCAAAGCACAUUGGCUUUCCUCCUUGACAUCAGUUUCUGAUUUGUUCUGCUCCUCCUGUGUGUCUAGAAUGUCUUCAAUGUGGCUUUGUUGCCUGGCUUAGCAGAGGGAGCUCACAAAUAGACCAGGUAUUCCUUUCUGUGUCUCCUUCAGGCAGAGAGUUCCUUGAAGCUAAUGUGGCACCCACUUGCCAGGAAUAUUACAUGAAGGAAGAGCACUUGCUUAAAAGUAGUUUUCCUUUUCCUUCGAGGCAAACCAAGAAUGACAACCUAAUUCCUCAGCCUUGAAUUUGAGCCCAAACUUGAUCACUGGGUUCCUUUACUAAAAGUCUUGUGUUAUAUGGUGGGUCAGCUAUUAGUUCAAAAGUCCUCCCCACGCAGCCUACCUGCAGUAAGAGGAGUGUCCUCCCCGCCUCCACCAAGGCUGGGCUUUAGCCAGCAGGAUGUUAGGUCACAUGAGUCAAGCAGAGGUUUGAAGCUCCCUGGUUGCUGUGCCUGCCCUCCUGUGCUUCUGCCAUCACCACGAGAAGAGCUUCUCCCAGGAUUGGGGAAGCACUAGCUACAAGUAGACAUUGGUUACCCCUGCUUUGCUCAGAGAAUCCCUCUGCUGAUCCACAGACAUGAACAUCAGCAGCCAUGUUUAGAUCCUGCCCCCCGGGGCCAUGAUGGACCAAACCAGGGUGGGCACCUGACCAUUCAAGCUUUGAUUUUGAGGUGGAGAACCUACCUUACUGUUCGAGGAAGUGGGAACAACUCUCAUUUGUUUUUAAGAGAUGAAGUCUAUUUGUAUAGAAAAACAACUCCAUUCUGUCCCCAUUUAAGGUACAUUUGUAUUAGUUACCUCUUGCUGCAUAACACAUGUACUUAAAAUCUUUAAGCAACAAUGUACUGCUUCUCAAGCUUCUGCUGGUCUCCACUGGGUUCAGACAGCUGGUGGAAUUCCUAGGGCUGGAGUCUAAGCAGGCCUCACUCACAUGUCUGGGGCCCUGCUAUGACUGUUGGCUGGGCUUCUCUCUCCAUGUGGUCCCUGGGUGCUCCAAGAGACAGAAAAUGGAAUUUACAAUACCCCUUAAGGCUGAGUCUCACAGACUGCACACUGUCAUUUCUUCUGCAUUUUCUUGGUCAAAGCAAAUCGUGAGGCUAGGCCAGAAUCAAGAGUUGGAGAAAUAGGUCCCACCUCUUGAUUUAGAAAGGAACAGCAAAGUCACAUUGCAAAGGAGUAAAGGACACAAGGGUACUCUUUGUUGGGGAGCCAUGGCUGUCACGAU